rnacentral:rRNA from 1 species
AGAGUUUGAUCCUAGCUCAGGAUGAACGCUGGCGGCGUGAUUUAGGCAUGCAAGUCGAGCGCCCAGCCGUAAUUUUGUAUCGGAGUUUUAAAGUAUCUCCCUCCUCUGAAAGUAUUUCGGAGUAAUGGAAUACUACUGACUCGGUUGUAAAAUUACGGCUGGGAGCGGCGAACGAGGUAGUAACACGUAGGAACCUGCCCCCAAGACAGGAAUAACUGCGGGAAACCGUAGCUAAUACCUGAUAGUCCCCGCUUUUAGCGGGGUAAAGAUUUAUCGCUUGAGGAUGGGCCUGCGCGCUAUCAGCUUGUUGGUAAGGUAAUGGCUUACCAAGGCUAUGACGGCUAGGGGGGGUGAGAGCCCGGUCCCCACCGAUGGCACUGAGACACGGGCCAUACAUCUACGGAUGGCAGCAGUCAAGAGUCUUCCACAAUGGGCGAAAGCCUGAUGGAGCGACGCCGCGUGCAGGAUGAAGCCCUUCGGGGUGUAAACUGCUUUUAUGGGUGAAAAAUUUCGAUGAUAUUAACCCAAGAAUAAGGGGUUGCUAAACUCGUGCCAGCAGCAGCGGUAAUACGAGUACCCCAAGCGUUAUCCGGAUUUAUUGGGCGUAAAGGGUGUGUAGGGGGCAAUGUUAGUCUUGCUUUAAAAAUUCCGGCUCAACCGGAAAGCUGGGCAAGAAACGGCAUAGCUUUGAGGAUGUGAGAGGUCUGCGGAACUCACGGUGUAGGGGUGAAAUCCGUUGAUAUCGUGGGGAACACCAAAGGCGAAGGCAGCAGACUGGCGUAUUCCUGACCCUGAAACACGAAAGCGUGGGUAGCGAAGAGGAUUAGAUACCCUCGUAGUCCACGCCCUAAACGAUGUUCACUGGCUUUUCCAAGUAUCGACCCUUGGAGAGGCGAAGCUAACGCGUUAAGUGAACCGCCUGGGAAGUACGGCCGCAAGGCUAAAACUCAAAGGAAUAGACGGGGACUUGCACAAGCGGUGGAUCAUUUCGACGCUACACGAAGAACCUUACCAGGGCUUGACAUCCCGCUGAAAUUCCAAAGAAACUUGGAACCCUUCACAAGAGCAGCGGGACAGGUGAUGCAUGGCUGUCGUCAGUUCGUGAUUUGAAUUGUUCCCUUAAGUGGGGUAACGAACGCAACCCUCGUUGUCUGUUACAAGUGUCAGACGAGACUGCCCCGUUAUACGGGGAGGAAGGAGAGGAUGACGCCAAGUCAGCAUGUCCCUUUGACGCCCUGGGCUACACACAUGAUACAAUGGCGCGCACAAUGGGCCGCGAAAGAGUAAUCUGGAGCAAAUCCCAUCAAAGCGCGUCUCAGUUCGGAUUGAGGUCUGCAACUCGACCUCAUGAAGUUGGAAUCGCUAGUAAUCGCGGGUCAGCUAUACCGCGGUGAAUACGUUCUCAAGUCUUGUACUCACUGCCCGUCAAGUCAAGGAAGCCGGGAGUACCCGAAACCCCUGAAUUUCAGGGUCUAAGGUAAAUUCGGUGACAGGGACUAAGUCGUAACAAGGCACGGCUAGCGGAAGCUGGUCGUG